UAAGCGGAGGAAAAGAAACUAACAAGGAUUACCUUAGUAACUGCGAGUGAACCGGUAACAGCUCAGACUUAAAACUCUUCUCUUCGGGAAGCGAAUUGUAAGCUGAAGACGCGGCCCUUACGCGAGUCAAUGUGGAGUAACUCGGUUGGAAUACCGGACCAUAGAGGGUGCUAGUCCCGUACCUCCUCAUCGACUGCGGUAGGACGUGUUCACAGAGUCGGGUAGUUUGGGAUUGCUGCCCAAAGUGGGAGGUAGACUCCUUCUAAAGCUAAAUACCUACAGGAGACCGAUAGCGAACAAGUACUGUGAAGGAAAGAUGAAAAGCACUUUGAAAAGAGAGUUAAAAGACUUGAAAUCGCUGAGGAGGAAGCAGUCAGCGUAGCUCAGUCUACAGCGCAAAGUUCCUCACGAGGGGCUAGAAGCUGCGACAGUGCAGAGUGGAGGUAGUGCGACGUGAGACCUAGUGCUGUCAGUACAAGGAUCUGCGCCAAACCACCUCAAGGCACUCCGGUGACUCUGCUGCUACGGUUUUUACUGACCCGUCUUGAAACACGGACCAAGGAGUCUAAC
rnacentral:rRNA from 1 species